AGUGAACGCUGGCGGUAGGCCUAACACAUGCAAGUCGAACGGCAGCACAGUAAGAGCUUGCUCUUACGGGUGGCGAGUGGCGGACGGGUGAGGAAUACAUCGGAAUCUACUUUUUCGUGGGGGAUAACGUAGGGAAACUUACGCUAAUACCGCAUACGACCUACGGGUGAAAGCAGGGGAUCUUCGGACCUUGCGCGAUUGAAUGAGCCGAUGUCGGAUUAGCUAGUUGGCGGGGUAAAGGCCCACCAAGGCGACGAUCCGUAGCUGGUCUGAGAGGAUGAUCGGCCACACUGGAACUGAGACACGGUCCAGACUCCUACGGGAGGCAGCAGUGGGGAAUAUUGGACAAUGGGCGCAAGCCUGAUCCAGCCAUACCGCGUGGGUGAAGAAGGCCUUCGGGUUGUAAGCCCUUUUGUUGGGAAAGAAAAGCAGCAGGUUAACACCCCGCUGUUCUGACGGUACCCAAAGAAUAAGCACCGGCUAACUUCGUG
rnacentral:rRNA from 1 species